rnacentral:rRNA from 1 species
GUAAGGAAUAUUGGUCAAUGGGCGGAAGCCUGAACCAGCCAUGCCGCGUGCAGGACGACGGCCCUACGGGUUGUAAACUGCUUUUGUCCGGGAAUAACCCCCCGCUCUUGAGCGGGGCUGAACGUACCGGGAGAAUAAGGAUCGGCUAACUCCGUGCCAGCAGCCGCGGUAAUACGGAGGAUCCGAGCGUUAUCCGGAUUUAUUGGGUUUAAAGGGUGCGUAGGCGGCCUGUUAAGUCAGGGGUGAAAUACGGCAGCUCAACUGUCGCAGUGCCCUUGAUACUGACGGGCUUGAAUACCGGUGAAGGCGGCGGAAUUAGACAAGUAGCGGUGAAAUGCAUAGAUAUGUCUCAGAACCCCGAUUGCGAAGGCAGCUGCCUAACCGGCGAUUGACGCUGAUGCACGAAAGCGUGGGGAUCGAACAGGAUUAGAAACCCUUGUAGUCC